rnacentral:sRNA from 1 species
GGCUACUGCAGAGGGUUCAGAGCCGAGUCGCUGAGGAGGAGGCUCCGGUCCCCGCGCGCCAUCCGCCACCCUACUGGACACGGGCGAGAGCGUCGCCGCCGUAGCCUCCGGAGAAGACAAGGGCAUCGCCGCCUCAGCCGCCGCCGCCGCCGUUUUCGCCUGCAGCUGCUCACCGGUUACCCCACAGCCUAUCCAGCAGCUGCCCCUGCCUACAAUCCCAGCCUGUACCCCACCAAUAGUCCCAGUUAUGCUCCAGAGUUUCAGUUCCUGCAUUCAGCUUAUGGACACCAUGAAGCAACUCUGCUGAUGAAACAGGCCUGGCCACAGAACUCGUCUUCCUGUGGCACUGAAGGCACCUUCCACCUCCCAGUGGACACCGGGACCGAGAACCGAACUUACCAAGCAUCCUCUGCGGCUUUCAGUAUUUUCAGGCAGAGGUGGCCUUCCCCUAGAGCCCAGGAGAGAAGGAGGAG